CGGGUGCACUGAUCCGGCCGGGCCUUUCCCUCUGUGGAACCCCAUGGCCUUCACUGGCUGUGCGGGGGAAACAGGACUUUUACUGUGAAAAAAUUAGAGUGCUCCAGGCAGGCCUAUGCUCGAAUACAUUAGCAUGGAAUAAUAGAAUAGGACGCGUGGUUCUAUUUUGUUGGUUUCUAGGACCGCCGUAAUGAUUAAUAGGGACAGUCGGGGGCAUCAGUAUUCAAUUGUCAGAGGUGAAAUUCUUGGAUCUAUUGAAGACUAACUACUGCGAAGGCAUUUGCCAAGGAUGUUUUCAUUGAUAAGGAACGAAAGUUAGGGGAUCGAAGACGAUCAGAUACCGUCGUAGUCUUAACUAUAAACUAUGCCGACUAGGGAUCGGACGAUGUUAUUUCUUGACGCGUUCGGCACCUUUCGAGAAGUCAAAGUGCUUGGGCUCCAGGGGGAGUAUGGUCGCAAGGCUGAAACUUAAAGAAAUUGACGGAAGGGCACCACCAGGGGUGGAACCUGCGGCUUAAUUUGACUCAACACGGGGAAACUCACCAGGUCCAGACACAGUGAGGAUUGACAGAUUGAGAGCUCUUUCUUGAUUCUGUGGGUGGUGGUGCAUGGCCGUUCUUAGUUGGUGGAGUGAUUUGUCUGCUUAAUUGCGAUAACGAACGAGACCUUAACCUGCUAAAUAGCCCGUACUGCUCUGGCAGUUCGCCGGCUUCUUAGAGGGACUAUCGG
rnacentral:rRNA from 1 species